GUCCCAGUAGCUCAACCGGAUAGAGCAACAGCCUUCUAAGCUGUAGGUUGAAGGUUCGAGUCCUUCCUGGGACGCCA
rnacentral:tRNA from 1 species